rnacentral:rRNA from 1 species
AGUGGACUGGGGUGGAAACAUCCCUUUCUCGCAAGAGACUGCUGCGGAGGUGCUGCAUGGCUGUCGUCAGCUCGUGUCGUGAGAUGUUGGGUUAAGUCCGCAACGAGCGCAACCCUUAUCCCUAGUUGCCAUCGGGUCAAGCCGGGCACUCUAGCGAAACCGCCCCGGAUAACGGGGAGGAAGGUGGGGAUGACGUCAAGUCCUCAUGGCCUUUAUGUCCAGGGCUACACACGUGCUACAAUGGCCGGUACAAACCGUCGCAAACCCGCGAGGGGGAGCUAAUCGGAAAAAGCCGGCCCCAGUUCGGAUUGCAGUCUGCAACUCGACUGCAUGAAGCUGGAAUCGCUAGUAAUCGCGGAUCAGCACGCCGCGGUGAAUACGUUCCCGGGCCUUGUACACACCGCCCGUCACAUCACGAAAGUGGAUGGUACUAGAAGCCGGUGCGCUAACCGCAAGGAAGCAGCCGUCCAAGGUAUCAUUCAUGAUUGGGGUGAAGUCGUAACAAGGUAGGCGUAGAUGA